rnacentral:pre_miRNA from 1 species
AGAGGGAUAGCUAGGUCAAAUGGUGAUUCCAUUCCCAGCUUUCCAAGGAAUCUCCAUAUUGCUUUCCAUAUUGGCUGCACCAAUUUGCAGUCCCACCAGCAAU